rnacentral:rRNA from 1 species
GAUGAACGCUGGCGGCGUGCCUAAUACAUGCAAGUCGAGCGAACAGACGAGGAGCUUGCUCCUCUGACGUUAGCGGCGGACGGGUGAGUAACACGUGGAUAACCUACCUAUAAGACUGGGAUAACUUCGGGAAACCGGAGCUAAUACCGGAUAAUAUAUUGAGCCGCAUGGUUCAAUAGUGAAAGACGGUUUUGCUGUCACUUAUAGAUGGAUCCGCGCCGCAUUAGCUAGUUGGUAAGGUAACGGCUUACCAAGGCAACGAUGCGUAGCCGACCUGAGAGGGUGAUCGGCCACACUGGAACUGAGACACGGUCCAGACUCCUACGGGAGGCAGCAGUAGGGAAUCUUCCGCAAUGGGCGAAAGCUUGACGGAGCAACGCCGCGUGAGUGAUGAAGGUCUUCGGAUCGUAAAACUCUGUUAUUAGGGAAGAACAAAUGUGUAAGUAACUAUGCACGUCUUGACGGUACCUAAGCAGAAAGCCACGGCUAACUACGU